UGGCAUUCAGCAAAGACGGCCGGGGCAGUGAUGGAGAGAGACUGAGAGAGACCGACAGAGAUGGAGGGCUCUUCUUGAGCCAGCAAGCGCUAUUGAUCCCUGUGGUGGGAAGUGAACUCUCCCUUUCCUAAACCUGCUGGAGUUCAUUCUCGGUCAUCACCUUGCCAGUGGCCUUGCAGGUA